rnacentral:rRNA from 1 species
CAGCAGCCGCGGUAACACGAAGGGUGCAAGCGUUACUCGGAAUUACUGGGCGUAAAGCGUGCGUAGGUGGUGGUUUAAGUCCGUUGUGAAAGCCCUGGGCUCAACCUGGGAAUUGCAGUGGAUACUGGGUCACUAGAGUGUGGUAGAGGAUAGUGGAAUUUCCGGUGUAGCAGUGAAAUGCGUAGAGAUCGGAAGGAACAUCUGUGGCGAAGGCGACUAUCUGGGCCAACACUGACACUGAGGUGCGAAAGCGUGGGGAGCAAACAGGAUUAGAUACCCGUGUAGUCCCUGUCUCUUAUAC